rnacentral:tRNA from 1 species
GAGGGUAGAGCUCAGUGGUAGAGGGCAUGCUUAGCAUGCACGAGGUCCUGGGUUCAAUCCCCAGUACCUCCA